rnacentral:rRNA from 1 species
GACGAACGCUGGCGGCGUGCUUAACACAUGCAAGUCGAACGGAAAGGCCCUGCUUUUGUGGGGUGCUCGAGUGGCGAACGGGUGAGUAACACGUGAGUAACCUGCCCUUGACUUUGGGAUAACUUCAGGAAACUGGGGCGAAUACCGGAUAGGAGCUCCUGCUGCACGGGGGGGGUUGGAAAGUUUCGGCGGUUGGGGAUGGUCUCGCGGCUUAUCAGCUGGUUGGUGGGGUAGUGGCUGACCAAGGCUUUGACGGGUAGCCGGCCUGAGAGGGUGAACGGCCACCUUGGGCCUGAGGUACGGCCCAGAAUCCUACGGGCGGCAGCAGUGGGGAGUCUUGCGCAGUAGGCGGGCGCCUGAUGCGGCAACGCCGCGUGCGGGAUGACGGCCUUCGGGUUGUAAACCGCUUUCGACUGUGCCGAAGCGUGAGUGACGGUAAUGGGUAAAAAAGCACCGGCUAACUACGUG